rnacentral:rRNA from 1 species
GAUGAACGCUGGCGGCGUGCCUAAUACAUGCAAGUCGAGCGAACAGAUAAUGAGCUUGCUCCUUUGACGUUAGCGGCGGACGGGUGAGUAACACGUGGGUCACCUACCUAUAAGACUGGAAUAACUCCGGGAAACCGGGGCUAAUGCAGGAUAACAUGUUGAACCGCAUGGUUCUACAGUGAAAGGCGGCUUUGCUGUCACUUAUAGAUGGACCCGCGCCGUAUUAGCUAGUUGGUGAGGUAACGGCUCACCAAGGCAACGAUACGUAGCCGACCUGAGAGGGUGAUCGGCCACACUGGAACUGAGACACGGUCCAGACUCCUACGGGAGGCAGCAGUAGGGAAUCUUCCGCAAUGGGCGAAAGCCUGACGGAGCAACGCCGCGUGAGUGAUGAAGGUCUUCGGAUCGUAAAACUCUGUUAUUAGGGAAGAACAAAUGCGUAAGUAACUGUGCGCGUCUUGACGGUACCUAAUCAGAAAGCCACGGCUAACUACGUG